rnacentral:lncRNA from 1 species
UUCACAGCAUCUGAGCAGUCUGCCUAUAUUUGGCUAAUGUGUGUUUCCUUUCGCCUGAUAGAGUGCAAAAUGCCUCCAAACCCAGGCAAGGAUCCCCGAGGGACCAGCGCGCUCCACUCUUUCCCAGGAUAUUAAUGCUGUGGGACUUGGCCGCUCUCAGCUGCUGAGCAGCACGACGCCAGCUAGGAAGCAGGAGGUCGACCUUUGGGAUCUUUGAUCUUUUAUUUUCCUACUAGGAUAUUUAAUAGGAUAACUGAAAAUAGACACUAAUGGAGACAUUUUCACAAGACUGCUUAUAAAUAUCAGAAAGCUCCUAGGAGCUCAUGAUUUCUAGUCCUUGGAGUAUCUGAGAGACAGGAAACUACAAACGGGGCUUCCUGGUCACACUCCCUAGUCAGGUACAGCUGCCCCCAGGUCCCAAAGUCAUGACUAGUGCCAAUUUUAUGAACUUACACAGAUUGUUCUAGAAGGUGCUGAUAACAUGUCAGAGAUAUGGGAAAAGUUGCAUUAUGUAUGGAAACACAUGAAACAGGAGGAGAGACUAAUGCCAUGAAGAUGGGGCUCAGGGGAGACAGCAGCUCCCAGGAGGACAGGCUUUUCGUUUUCAGGUUUCCAGAGCUCCUUGGGGAUUUCUCUCAGCACCUACUCAUGUUAUUUUUGGUAUGCUUGUGUCUUUACCUGCAUAUCCUUCUAAUCUUGUGCAAGAAGCCACCAGGAUAGGACGAGAGUGGAAGGAUGUGUGUAAACCUUAGAAAACUGAUUUAGAGUAAAAAAUUGAAUGCUAAGCCCAGAGGAAAGGGGCCAGAGUCCUCCUUUCAUUACACAUGAAAAUACCGGUGAUUUCAACAGCAAAAACUAUUUUUAAGUGAUAUGCACGUGAAUGUUCGCAUUACAGGUUCUGCAACUUUAAAAUCCAGGGUGAUAAUCUAGCAGUAAUUGUGACUUAUGCAAACUCUGAGUUUUGCAAAACCAUGUGGAACAAUUGCAUGAAUGGGGAGAUAACAGUGUUCUGUGACAGGUGGUCAACUGAGAUGGAAUGAGUCAGUGACUAAGCCAAAGAUAGAAAGGCAGGGGGAAAACCCCGACACACACACACACACACACACACACACUUUUUUGCCUUUUUUUUUUUAAUAUAUAUUAUCUGCUGGCUCAGCUUAUAUUCCCCAGAAAGAGGAGCCUGCGAAAGGCUUGCCUGCCAGUAAUUCCUAGGUGGGUGCACACCGUCCCCUGGGAGCAGGUGAGAGACAGAUCAAGGAAAGCCAAAGCAAAGGCUGCCUCAUCCAGGUGGUCACUGCUGCAGGCAUCUGGUGCUCCGUUCUGCUGGAACAUUCUGAGAGGCCUCAUAAAAUGCUCUCCGAAUAGUUGCCCGAGGCCGGCAAAGGGGGAAGCAUUUAUCCAAGAGUCCUCCUGCCACUGGUCACGGAUCAUGCUCGCCCACCCACUCCAGUAGCUCAAGCGAGAGCAGAGCAGCUCCUUGUCAGAGAGGCUGCAGCUGGAGGCAGGAGCUGCCGGGUCAAGUCGGCCUGAGGCCCUCGCUGGCUGUGGGAAGCUGGCAGUGCCCUGGUGGACCUAGUCACCAUAGGAUGGCUGGAGCAGGGUGAGGCCAAGGGGGAUCUAAGUGAUGCCACAUAUGAUGUGCCUAAUAUCCCCCUUUAGUAGGGAGUGGGGAAGGUAAGACUGAGAGUGGCCGAGGCUUUAGGGUGCAGCAGGGUGGGACUGUCACCCACAGGAGGCCACAUCUAAACCCCACUGAGCACAUGGUUUGACAAGUAUACAUACACUUAGAGAGAGAGAAGGUUUAUUUGGUGACCGGAAAAGCAUAUUGAAAAUUGAGGCUGUCCUGGAAAAAAGAAUGAGACUUGUCCCCUGAACAAAAAGCAAAUACUGUCAUCUGUUAACACGAUCAAUCCACCGGGAGCUGGGGCUAAGGGAGAGAGCAAGCGCCGGCCUCACCAUGAGAAAUCCCCGGGACAUCUGCACAUCCCCGUCAAGCUGCACCUGUGACCUGAGAUUCCUGUCACCAGCAAAACCUGACCUGGACAUUGGUCUGCGAUACUGAAUGUGAACGAUGCCUUGGGAUUGUGGGACGGCUCUGUCGCUUUUGAUGCCUUUCUGAACUUUCUUAUGAAUGAGGAGAACCAGGGACCUGAGGGGGAAGGCAUCUGCCCACGCUCCCACUACCAGCAGCCCAGAGGCGGGAACUGGAACGCGGGUGGUUAGUGGGGGGUUGUGUUCAACAGUGAGAAAGAACCCUGGAAAACACAUCGAGAGCCACGUGAGGCUUAUCAUUCCCACUAGAGGUAGACAGGGCUGGCUUGGCUGGUGGUCAAGGUGCUGGGUGGGGGUCUCUGUGCCCCUCUGGCCUUUCCCUCAGGGUCAGUCACAAGGUGACGGCUGCAGGAAGGGCAAGGGCUGGGAAGCCCUGUCACUGAAAUCGGCCUAAGUUCUGUCUGUGAAACUGUGUCCUGUGGCCGUCCUCAUCUCUGAGGGAGGCUGGAAAAUAAAAUUUCUUCAUCUCCGUACCUUAAAUUGCACUGUGUCUCUGUAAGGAAGAAAGGUAGAAUGGAAGAAUGCAUACGCAACCAGCAUUCUCAUUUGC